AAAAAAAAAAAAAAAGAGAAAAAAAGUGUUAUGGAGAGAAGAAGCUGCUGGAGGGCGUUGAAUUUGUACGCCCCGUUAUACCUACAUUAUUGGGCAAUUUAGCAAUUACUGGAAAAGCUGAAUCAUGCUUCUCCUACUCAGUGCAAUUGCAUUCCCAGGCAUAGGUCAGAGAACCCCUCAGAUAAGGGCGCAAGGAAACCAUAAGGGGAAUGUUCAUAACAGCUUUGGAAUUUGCAAAAACUGCAAGUAACCCAAAUGUUCACCCACAGAACAGUGGGAAAAAACUUGUGAUAUAUUUAUUGACUGGAGCCACAUGUUCAAACAUAGAUCUCACAGCUUAGCAUUGAGCAGGAAAUACAAGUUGUAGGAGGCUUGAUAUUUAUGUAAAGGUUAAACCUAUGCAAGGAAAUCUUGCGUACUGCUCUGGGAUACAUACUGUAGGGAAGUACUAUAUUAAUAUAAACUCAGGAUUGUGGGUGCCAUUGGAGGGGGGCUCGAGAAAAGAAUAAGCCUUUCAUUUGGCCUGGUGUGUUCAUUCACUUUUUUGGAAUGCAUCUGAAAUAUUACAUACCAAAUUAAAAUACUGUGUUUCCAAACCUAUAAAACCGAUGGCAACUUUCAAAUAAUUGGAUGUUAGAAAUGGAACUCUCAAAAGAUUUCCUCCUCCCCACGAAUGUACCCUUUGCCUAGGAUGGGAGGCUGUCACCUGGAGUAGCAACCCAAGGCCCUCGACCGCAGGGGUCCUAGCAAGCCUUGCCUUUGUGCAUCUGCUCUGGGAGCCAGAGAAGUUGAAAGCGGCCUCACUCGGGAUUUUUGAAGAGGUUGUAUUUCCCGACAGUCCUGGAUAAAAGACACGGCAGGCAGUCUGACUGUCAGGGGAGUCCCUUCUGGGUCUGUAUUUAUAUAUCCCUAGGAAUCCUCUCCUGCGGGCUCUUAAAUGGCAAAGCACCCCUGAGUCCUGCAAUUACGGCCUUCCCACCCCCAAGCUGAAAAACCUGAUUUUCUUCAGGAGAAGAGAAACCUCAUCCCGGGAGCGGAAUUUGUGAAGAAAAUGUGAGUGGGAAACAUGAAGAGUGAUGAAAUGAACAAGUUGAGUGACUCCCACCCUGUUGAAGAGAUUGAACUUCAUCCCCAGUUCCUGUGAAGCUUUCUGGAUCUCGUCUUCCAAGAUGGGCUCAAGUUCCCUGGUGUGAAGAGAAGACAAAAUGCUGCCCUCCGCACCUCUUUCAGGAAAUCCUCCUGUAUUAUAUUUUGAAUGCAGCUCCCUCCACCAUCUGGGAUGGAGUCAUUGCUUUACAGCAGUCAUAGCUGCUGUCAUGAAAGAUGAAGCUGGUCUCCAGGACACUAGGAGGUUGCAAAGAGCCACAUGAGUUUAUUGGAUAUGACAGAAUUUCUCCAAGUGGGGAAGCUAAAUUAAGCAAAUGGUAAGUAUACAUUUUGUAAAAUGAUAAAACUCUCAUUAGUUGUGGUUGGUUCAGUUGUCUAUUUAGAAAAUGCAAGGGACUCAACUGAAAAUGUUAGCACCAAUACAGAGAUGUAGUAUGUUGGCUGGAGGAUUCAGGACCAACUUAGAAACAUCAGUGGCAUUUUUAUAUAUCUGUAACCAUAAAAAUAAGUAAUAGAAAAAAAACCAGUAGCAGCAAAGCCAUUCAGAUACCCAGGAAUAACCUUAGUGAGAAAGGCACAACACUCCUGAGACUUCACUGAAAAAUUUGAAAGAAGAUUAGACUAACUGGAGAAGAAAACCCUAUUGUCUUUUUUUUUUUUUU
rnacentral:lncRNA from 1 species